GCACGAAGUUGGAAUUGCUAGUAAUCGCGGAUCAGCAUGCCGCGGUGAAUACGUUCCCGGGUCUUGUACACACCGCCCGUCACACCAUGGGAGCCGGUAAUACCCGAAGUCAGUAGUUUAACCCUUGUGGAGGACGCUGCCGAAGGUAGGAUUGGCGACUGGGGUGAAGUCGUAACAAGGUACC
rnacentral:rRNA from 1 species